rnacentral:rRNA from 1 species
GAUGAACGCUGGCGGCGUGCCUAAUACAUGCAAGUCGAGCGAACGGACGAGAAGCUUGCUUCUCUGUUGUUAGCGGCGGACGGGUGAGUAACACGUGGAUAACCUACCUAUCAGACUGGGAUAACUUCGGGAAACCGGCGCUAAUACCGGAUAAUAUUUUGAACCGCAUGGUUCAAAAGUGAAAGACGGUCUUUCUGUCACUUCUCGAUGGAUCCGCGCUGCAUUAGCUAGUUGGUAAGUUAACGGCUUACCAAGGCAACGAUGCAUAGCCGACCUGAGAGGGUGAUCGGCCACACGGGAGCUGAGACACGGACCAGACGCCUACGGGAGGCAGCAGAAGGGAAUCGUACGCAAUGGGCGAAAGCAUGACGGAGCAACGCCGCGUGAGUGAUGAAGGUCUUCGGAUCGUAAAACUCUGUUAUUAGGGAAGAACAUAUGUGUAAGUAACUGUGCACAUAGUGACGGUACCUAAUAAGAAAGCCACGGCUAACUACGUG